UGAUUGAAAGAGGCAAUUGCAGUUUUACUGCUAAAAUUCAGGUGGCAAGCAGAAGAGGGGCAAGAGCAGCUGGGAUCUACAAUUGCCAAGGCCAGGGCACCCACAGCCUCCUGGUGUCACCUCAGGGUGAGUAAAACAGGGCUGAAAACAGCGCUGGAUCCUGAUCCUUUCUUCCUCUGAGGGCUGGCUGAGGGCAGCAGAGGCGGGCCCUGAGGAAUCAGGGCUGUUUGUGGGGGAUUGUUGCUGUAGUCCAGCAUUGCCCUGGCAAAAGCCCUGGGAAGCCGAGGCAGGAGCAGGUGGGAAGGGCCGGCGCUGCUGCUGCUCCUGGCCGGGAGCCCCGGCCGGGCCGGGCCUGCGCCCGCUGCGCUGCGGCUGCUGCUGCUGCCAGAGCCGGGCGGGACUCGGGGACAGGGAAUGGACACGGGGGGACAGCAAAGGCCUUGGGGGCUGCAGGGAUGUUGGUGCUGGGGCCAGCGCCAGCACAGAGCUUCAGCCCGCAAUGAACCCCGAGGGAAACGCUGGGGAAAGGCUCCAUUCAGCCUUUCUUUACUCGGCGCUGUGAAGGGACCGAAAUAAAAGGAGAGUGAGCAGGGCCCGACCCCUUCUCCUUUGGGAGGAGCCCCUGGGGCUGUGAGGGGCCGUGAGGGGAAAUGAGAGGUUCUAUGGGGCCAGGACAGGUUCUGUGGGGCCAUGAGGGGUAGUGAGGGGCCAUGAGGGGCUGUGAGGGGCCAAGAGAUGUUCUAUGGGGCCAUGAGAGGUUCUAUGGGGCCAUGAGAGGUUCUAUGGGGCUGUGAGGGGCUGUGAGGGGAAAUGAGGGGCCAUGAAGGGACAUGAGGGGCUGUGAGAGGUUCUAUGAGGCCAUGAGAGGUUCUGUGGGGCCAUGAGGGGUAGUGAGGGGCCAUGAGGGGCUGUGAGGGGCCAAGAUAUGUUCUAUGGGGCCAUGAGAGGUUCUAUGGGGCCAUGAGGGGUUGUGAAGGGCCAUGAGGAGCCUCAGCCCUGGCAGGAGGGGUCCCACCAUGUCCCCAGGGCAGGGCAGCCGUGAGGGGCCGCGAGUGCAGAUGUGGCAGCAGAGUGGGCUUGGGGCCCCUCUGGGAAAGGAUGAGGCAUUUCCCCAGCUCCAAACCACACCAAGCCCACCAUUAAAAAAGAUUUCCUGUCUUUUGAAUCCACUGGCAACUUGGAGUUGAUUGUAGAAGUUUAAUCCCAGUGAGAAAAGCAAGGGAAGUUUCCCAGUGAGUGACAUCCAGCCAUUUUUAUUCAUGUCUAAGAUUUAAAAGUCUUAACAAUGAAAAGUAAUACUAAUAAAUAAUAAUAACAACAAG